UGCCGGGUCGUCUAGUGGUAGGACCCAUGGUUCUGGACCAUGGUACCUAGGUUCGAAUCCUAGCCCGGCAG
rnacentral:tRNA from 1 species